AAUCAAAUCAUCGAUAGAUUAAAUGAUAGUCUUUUUUGUCAUUCAACAAGUUUACACUUAGUCUUAAUUUGAAUGUAUACAUUCUUAACAUAAUAAACUAAACUAUGCUUGAUUGACGGGUGACUAAUUUGACCAGUGUAUAUCUGCACAUGUCAGCGUCAUCCACCAUCUUUGUUUAUUUUAACGUGCCAGUUUUGUCGCGAUGAAAUUUCGUUAAUUUUAAUCUAUAAAUAAUCAUCAUGCUCCUGAGUAAUUCGGGAAACAGAAAGGCGCUACCGGAACAGGAGGAGCUGCAGCAUUUCAAAGAUACCAUUCUGAGAAGUCAGCAAUGCAGGUUGAAAAUGUAUUCACUGUGCAGUGAGUGCAGCCAGGCAGUGCAACAACUAAGGAUCUGAUAGAAUGAUCCGGGUCUAAGAACUUGACGGUGGGGGAGGAGAUUACGACUCCUCAGACGGGGAUAACGAUCAGGAAGUGAUUAGACCAGGGUCAACGAGAUAGCAGAGUUGAACGCAGAGCACCUGACGUCAGCGGCGAUUGUAAUGGUUCCGAUGAAAAUACGUUUUAGUAAGAUUCCCGAUUAUCACCAGGUGGAUCUGUGACGUUGAUCAUUUUGCUGGUGGGAGAUCCGCAAACAUCCGAUUUAAGAUUUGGUCAUUUUUAUUUUUACUGAGAAUAAAUUUAUAUUUAUCGAUAGGACCAUAUCCAUGGUCCAUGUAUUAUGUA
rnacentral:lncRNA from 1 species